CCCAGACAGCCAGGAUGUUGGCUUAGAAGCAGCCAUCAUUUAAAGAAAGCGUAAUAGCUCACUGGUCGAGUCGGCCUGCGCGGAAGAUGUAACGGGGCUAAACCAUGCACCGAAGCUGCGGCAGCGACGCUGAUGCGUUGUUGGGUAGGGGAGCGUUCUGUAAGCCUGCGAAGGUGACCUGUGAGGGUUGCUGGAGGUAUCAGAAGUGCGAAUGCUGACAUAAGUAACGAUAAAGCGGGUGAAAAGCCCGCUCGCCGGAAGACCAAGGGUUCCUGUCCAACGUUAAUCGGGGCAGGGUGAGUCGACCCCUAAGGCGAGGCCGAAAGGCGUAGUCGAUGGGAAACGGGUUAAUAUUCCCGUACUUGGUGUUACUGCGAAGGGGGGACGGAGAAGGCUAUGUUGGCCGGGCGACGGUUGUCCCGGUUUAAGCGUGUAGGUGUGUGUUCCAGGUAAAUCCGGUUCACUUUAACACUGAGGCGUGACGACGAGGCACUACGGUGCUGAAGCAACAAAUGCCCUGCUUCCAGGAAAAGCCUCUAAGCAUCAGGUAACACGAAAUCGUACCCCAAACCGACACAGGUGGUCAGGUAGAGAAUACCAAGGCGCUUGAGAGAACUCGGGUGAAGGAACUAGGCAAAAUGGUGCCGUAACUUCGGGAGAAGGCACGCUGACACGUAGGUGAAGUGAUUUACUCACGGAGCUGAAGUCAGUCGAAGAUACCAGCUGGCUGCAACUGUUUAUUAAAAACACAGCACUGUGCAAACACGAAAGUGGACGUAUACGGUGUGACGCCUGCCCGGUGCCGGAAGGUUAAUUGAUGGGG
rnacentral:rRNA from 1 species